rnacentral:rRNA from 1 species
GAUGAACGCUGGCGGCGUGCCUAAUACAUGCAAGUCGAGCGAACGGACGAGAAGCUUGCUUCUCUGAUGUUAGCGGCGGACGGGUGAGUAACACGUGGAUAACCUACCUAUAAGACUGGGAUAACUUCGGGAAACCGGAGCUAAUACCGGAUAAUAUUUUGAACCGCAUGGUUCAAAAGUGAAAGACGGUCUUGCUGUCACUUAUAGAUGGAUCCGCGCUGCAUUAGCUAGUUGUUAAGGUAACGGCUUACCAAGGCAACGAUGCAUAGCCGACCUGAGAGGGUGAGCGGCCACACUGGAACGGAGACACGGACCAGACUCCUACGGGAGGCAGCAGUAGGGAAUAUGCCGCAAUGGGCGAAAGCAUGACGGAGCAACGCCGCGUGAGUGAUGAAGGUCUUAGGAUCGUAAAACUCUGUUAUUAGGGAAGAACAUAUGUGUAAGUAAAUGUGCACAUCUUGACGGUACCUAAUCAGAAAGCCACGGCUAACUACGUG